UACGUAGGGUCCGAGCGUUGUCCGGAAUUACUGGGCGUAAAGAGCUCGUAGGUGGUUUGUCGCGUUGUUCGUGAAAACUCACAGCUCAACUGUGGGCGUGCGGGCGAUACGGGCAGACUAGAGUACUGCAGGGGAGACUGGAAUUCCUGGUGUAGCGGUGGAAUGCGCAGAUAUCAGGAGGAACACCGGUGGCGAAGGCGGGUCUCUGGGCCGAAAUUGACGCUGAGGAGCGAAAGCGUGGGGAGCAAACAGG
rnacentral:rRNA from 1 species